AGGUACAAUCUACACUAACGUACCCCAUAGGGCUUAUUAUUGGACCUCAAGGUACAUAUAUGUACCAUUUCUUUUAAGGGUUAUUAAUUCCCAAAGAGUUGAAUUAAUAAUCUACAGUGUUAAACAGUACUCGUGUUUAGUGUUGUUAUAUGGUGUAAUUUCACUUUUACACUAAAAGUGCGGAAUAAAAACUCACCGAAUUGUCUGGACUCCGCCCUUCAGUGACUGCUGCCUCGCGAGGCGACGACGCCAUCUUUUCUUCAAGUGACCGAGACGGUAAGUUGGAUUGCUUUCCUCUUGAUAAAAGUACACUGGAAAAAACAUUUUUGUUGAUAAUUUUACUCAAAAUAUGAUUGGUGGUGAACACAUUUAGAAAUUACUAACUGCGAGUGUUUUUGUCAGGUUCAGUGUUAAGUUCGUGUUCGUGAGGUGCAGAGAUGUAAGUUACAGAAGAGUGUGAAAGUUUCUUAUGCCGGUUCGAUUUCCUGAAAAAAAGGGGGAUUACAUGUAAAAUAACUUUUUGGAAUGUGCUUACAAUUUAUGUUAUAUAUGCUUUUGGCUUCUUUCAUUUCGUUUCGUUGACACAUCCUCUCGCCUCCAUUCCCGCCUAGCCCUGGAGUCUGGCGCUGAAGACUGAAGCUGCUCAGUUACAUUCGGAAUAAUCUCCACUCUGUGCCAAUCGGACCGUCGACGCUCCAGAGCAGCUUUUUUCCUGGUAUUUGCGUUCACUUGUUCAGAGACACGCCCGCGUGUUCUUCUGGGAGAGAGGCAGAAAAGAAGAGAAAGGAGGAUGUUAUCAUUUCAUCCACAGGCUUCUCCAUCUGCGUCUUAUCGGAGCGCUGCGGAUCUUAUCUGUACACAUGCUGCCUUUCUACACGGAUGAGCAACAGAGAGCCACUAUGCAGGAGUGUGUGUGUUUGUGGGUGUGUGUGUGUGUGUGUGAGAGAGAGAGAGAGAGAGAGAGAGAGAGCCUACAUGGAAAUUAAACAUAGCUGCUUCAUGCUUUAAAUGCACUUCUAGAAAACAUGACAUCUCUCUAACUGGAAAAUAACUGAGUUUCCUCAGCCUGUGUCUGUAUGUGGAGACAUUUUGAAGUGAUUUUGUUGGUCUUCUUGAGACUCUUUAAACGUCAUGUUGACCAUGAGCUGCUCUUGACCAGAAGCUUUUAGAAAUGUUCACUUAGUCACGGACAGACGCCCUCGCUGUCUUUCAUUCUCACUGAGGCAGGAGACACGUGAGGGUCCCUGAUGGAUCCGUAUCUGUCCUCAAGACCACCGCAAGAGAACAGAGAGAGAGAGACUAAAGACUCAGAAGAAAACAUUACACUGCAAAAAUGGACAACUCUAUCGCACAGACCUCCGGAGGGGCAGGAGCUCAGUGACAUCGCUAGGGCACAAUUGCGGUCCGGGGGCACAUAGACCGGACUGAAAGGGCACUUUAGCAUUGGCGAUAAAAGUGAAAAGUUUCUUACUGAAAACACUUGAAAAGAAUAUUAAGGUUUGACAUGUUACCAUAGCAACAGUAUUUAAGAUAUCAAGAAUCCCUUCACAGUUUUACAUCUGCCAUGUUUUUACAUUAUUCUGAUGAAGUUUUAAGCAAAUGGAGUAAAAAUAAGAGUCUGUUUUCAAAGCAUUUAAAAAAAAUUACUGCUGCCAGUUGGUGGCACUUAAACUUUGACUCCUAAUAGGUAAUGGGAAACAGUAACUAAUUAUGUGAUAACUUUUAUGUCAAGAGGAAAGACUGCAUGCAGAGACCACAUGCUUCAGAGAGAAGGAGCUUCACAUAUUCAUCAGAACUACACCAAAAAAAAAACAACAAAAAAAACAAUACUAUUAAACUAUCCAAGUGUCCGCUGUUGCUUAUAUUAGAUGUGAUAAAACUACAUAUCAAACAAUCAUGACUUUGCUAACUUAACAAAGAGUCAGCAGCUACCAUUAACACAUUAAACCAUUAGCUACCAUUAGUAACACAUUAAAGUUAAAUUUAGAUUUCAAUAUUUAAUUUAUAU
ensembl:lncRNA